CGGCGUGGAUUAGGCAUGCAAGUCGAGCGAACCCGCAAGGGUUAGCGGCAAAAGGGUGAGUAACACGUAAGUAAUUUUCCUUCAAGACGGGGAUAGCACCGUGAAAACGGUGGUAAUACCCGAUAAUAUAAGUGAUCCGCAUGGAUUUCUUAUUAAAGACGGGGACCGCAAGGCCUGUCGCUUAGAGAUGAGCUUGCGUACCAUCAGCUAGUUGGUAGGGUAACGGCCUACCAAGGCUUAGACGGUUAGCUGGUCUGAGAGGACGACCAGCCACAUUGGGACUGAGACACUGCCCAGACUCCUACGGGAGGCUGCAGUCGAGAAUAUUUAGCAAUGGACGAAAGUCUGACUAUGCGACGCCGCGUGCAGGAUGAAGGUCUUCGGAUUGUAAACUGCUUUUGUUAGGGGAGAAACCUGUAUCAUUAAUAGUGGUACAGCUGACGGUACCUGACGAAUAAGCCACGGCAAACUCCGUGCCAGCAGCCGCGGUAAUACGGAGGUGGCAAGCGUUACUCGGAAUUAUUGGGUGUAAAGGGCAGGUAGGUGGUCUUGCAAGUGAGAGGUGAAAUCCCACGGUUCAAUCGUGGAACUGCCUUUCAAACUGCUUGACUUGAGAAUGUUAGGGGAGAAUGGAAUUCCCGGUGU
rnacentral:rRNA from 1 species